rnacentral:rRNA from 1 species
AUCAGGCUCAGGACGAACGCUGGCGGCGUGCCUAAUACAUGCAAGUAGAACGCUGAAGAGAGGAGCUUGCUCUUCUUGGAUGAGUUGCGAACGGGUGAGUAACGCGUAGGUAACCUGCCUUGUAGCGGGGGAUAACUAUUGGAAACGAUAGCUAAUACCGCAUAACAAUGGAUGACACAUGUCAUUUAUUUGAAAGGGGCAAUUGCUCCACUACAAGAUGGACCUGCGUUGUAUUAGCUAGUAGGUGAGGUAAUGGCUCACCUAGGCGACGAUACAUAGCCGACCUGAGAGGGUGAUCGGCCACACUGGGACUGAGACACGGCCCAGACUCCUACGGGAGGCAGCAGUAGGGAAUCUUCGGCAAUGGGGGCAACCCUGACCGAGCAACGCCGCGUGAGUGAAGAAGGUUUUCGGAUCGUAAAGCUCUGUUGUAAGUCAAGAACGGGUGUGAGAGUGGAAAGUUCACACUGUGACGGUAGCUUACCAGAAAGGGACGGCUAACUACGUGCCCGCAGCCCGGGUAAUACGUAGGUCCCCAGGGUCGUCCGGAUUUAUUGGGGGAAAAGGGAGGGCAGCGGUUUGAUAAGUUUGAAAUUAAAGGAUGGGCUCAACCAAAAACCGUAUGGAAGACCGCCAACCCCCCGGGAAGAAU